rnacentral:rRNA from 1 species
GACGAACCGUGCGAACGUUGUUCGGAAUCACUGGGCAUAAAGGGCGCGUAGGCGGCUUUUCAAGUCAGGGGUGAAAUCCGGCAGCUUAGCUGUCGAAGUGCCCUUGAUACUGAUGAGCUCGAGGGAGGUAGGGGUAUGUGGAACUUCCGGUGGAGCGGUGAAAUGCGUUGAUAUCGGAAGGAACGCCGGUGGCGAAAGCGACGUACUGGACCUCUUCUGACGCUGAGGCGCGAAAGCUAGGGGAGCAAACGGG